CAGUCGCCACGGGAACACGGAGGGAGCUAGCGUUGUUCGGAAUUACUGGGCGUAAAGCGCGCGUAGGCGGUUACUCAAGUCAGAGGUGAAAGCCCGGGGCUCAACCCCGGAACUGCCUUUGAAACUAGGUGACUAGAAUCUUGGAGAGGUCAGUGGAAUUCCGAGUGUAGAGGUGAAAUUCGUAGAUAUUCGGAAGAACACCAGUGGCGAAGGCGACUGACUGGACAAGUAUUGACGCUGAGGUGCGAAAGCGUGGGGAGCAAACAGGAUUAGAUACCCCUGUAGUCCCUGUCUCUUAUAC
rnacentral:rRNA from 1 species